rnacentral:rRNA from 1 species
UACGUAGGGAGCAAGCGUUGUCCGGAAUCAUUGGGCGUAAAGCGCGCGUAGGCGGCCCUGUAAGUCCGCUGUGAAAGUCAAAGGCUCAACCUUUGAAAGCCGGUGGAUACUGCAGGGCUAGAGUCCGGAAGAGGCGAGUGGAAUUCCUGGUGUAGCGGUGGAAUGCGCAGAUAUCAGGAAGAACACCAAUGGCGAAGGCAGUUCUCUGGGACGGUACUGACGCUGAGACGCGAAAGCGUGGGGAGCGAACAGG